GAUUAAGUGAAAGAAGGGCAUUUGGUGGAUGCCUUGGCAUGCACAGGCGAUGAAGGACGUGAUGCGCUGCGAAAAGCCGUGGGGAGCUGCGAAUGAGCUUUGAUCCAUGGAUCUCCGAAUGGGGCAACCCACCUUAGAUGCUUGGAAAAUCAUUUUGGUUGGCAUCUGGUCCCGAAGCCGUAAGGCUUCGCAAGGCCAGAGGCCGUCGCCGGUUAUCCGGCGUCAAGAAACCAAAGUGGUUUCCAAGCAUUGUUGAAAGGUAUCUUAUUCUGAAUACAUAGGGAUAAGAAGCGAACGCAGGGAACUGAAACAUCUAAGUACCUGCAGGAAAGGACAUCAACCGAGACUCCGCAAGUAGUGGCGAGCGAACGCGGACCAGGCCAGUGGCAAUGAGGAAUAAAGUGGAACGAUCUGGAAAGUUCGGCCGUAGCGGGUGAUAGCCCCGUACACGUAGAACACUCAUUGUCCUUGAGUAAGGCGGGACACGUGAAAUCCUGUCUGAACAUGGGGAGACCACUCUCCAAGCCUAAGUACUCGUGCAUGACCGAUAGCGAACAAGUACCGUGAGGGAAAGGUGAAAAGCACCCCGACAAGGGGAGUGAAAUAGAACCUGAAACCGGAUGCCUACAAACAGUCGGAGCCCGCAAGGGUGACGGCGUACCUUUUGUAUAAUGGGUCAACGACUUAGUGUGGCAUGCAAGCUUAAGCCGGUAGGUGGAGGCGUAGCGAAAGCGAGUCUGAACAGGGCGCUUUAGUAUGUCGCAUUAGACCCGAAACCGAGUGAUCUAGCCAUGAGCAGGUUGAAGGUUGGGUAACACCAACUGGAGGACCGAACCCGCAUCUGUUGCAAUAGAUUGGGAUGACUUGUGGCUAGGGGUGAAAGGCCAAUCAAACUCGGAAAUAGCUGGUUCUCCGCGAAAACUAUUUAGGUAGUGCGUCGACCGAAUACCCUCGGGGGUAGAGCACUGGAUGGGCUAUGGGGACUCACCGUCUUACUGAUCCUAACCAAACUCCGAAUACCGAGGAGUACUAGUCGGCAGACACACGGCGGGUGCUAACGUCCGUCGUGAAAAGGGCAACAACCCUGACCUCCAGCUAAGGUCCCCAAGUCAUGGCUAAGUGGGAAAGGAUGUGAGGAUCCCAAAACAACCAGGAUGUUGGCUUAGAAGCAGCCAUCAUUUAAAGAAAGCGUAACAGCUCACUGGUCUAAAUAAGGGUCUUUGCGCCGAAAAUGUAACGGGGCUGAAGCCAUGCACCGAAGCUGAGGAUACGUCGUAAGACGUGUGGUAGCGGAGCGUUCCGUAAGCCAGUGAAGGGAUACCCGUGAGGGGUCCUGGAGGUAUCGGAAGUGCGAAUGUUGACAUGAGUAACGAUAAAGAGGGUGAGAGACCCUCUCGCCGAAAGACCAAGGGUUCCUGCUUAAAGUUAAUCUGAGCAGGGUUAGCCGGCCCCUAAGACGAGGCGGACACGCGUAGUCGAUGGGAACCACGUUAAUAUUCGUGGGCCUGGUGGUAGUGACGGAUUGCUCAACUUGUCCGGACUUAUUGGAUUGUCCGGGCGGGGACGCGGUUCCAGGAAAUAGCUCCACCGUAUAGACCGUACCCGAAACCGACACAGGUGGUCAGGUAGAGUAUACCAAGGCGCUUGAGAGAACUAUGUUGAAGGAACUCGGCAAAUUGCACGCGUAACUUCGGAAGAAGCGUGACCCUUUUCUACGCAAGUAGGAUGGGGUGGCACAGACCAGGGGGUAGCGACUGUUUAUCAAAAACACAGGGCUCUGCGAAGUCGCAAGACGACGUAUAGGGUCUGACGCCUGCCCGGUGCUGGAAGGUUAAGAGGAGGGGUGCAAGCUCUGAAUCGAAGCCCCAGUAAACGGCGGCCGUAACUAUAACGGUCCUAAGGUAGCGAAAUUCCUUGUCGGGUAAGUUCCGACCUGCACGAAUGGCGUAACGACUUCCCCGCUGUCUCCAACAUAGACUCAGUGAAAUUGAAUUCCCCGUGAAGAUGCGGGGUUCCUGCG
rnacentral:rRNA from 1 species